CGGCAUAUAUAAUAAUAUUUGAUUAAAUUUAAUAAUAUAAAAAAUAUUUUUAAAUUUUUAGAAUAGAAUUUUAAUUCAAUGAAAAACAAUAACAGAUAAAAAAACUAUAGGAGAAAAAAUUUGUUACAUAAAAAUUGGACUCCUUUGUACCCUCGUUUAGGGUAUUUUUUAUUAACACCGACAAUUUCGUGAAGUACCACAGUGCCUUUUAACCCUUUUUCAGCAAGUCCAUAUCUUAGCCGAUACUUUUCGUUCUCCGAGGCCAUUAGAGAAAAGGGAUAUACACCCUUUGUAUAACUAUACAUUACAAAUUUAAGUGGUCAAGAUCGAAUGAGGAAGAUUGGGGCUAGGGUUAGAGUUUGACUCACCCGACGUUGACGACAAGGGCGAGGGCGGCGCGCCUGCGGGGCUGGAGAUUGGAGCGGGCGUAGUAAGUGAGGUCGUUGUCGAGGAUGUCGUAUACUGUGCCCACGAGCUCCUCAGGCAACGUCUCUUAGGAAAUAGAGACUAAUGAAGCAGGAAGUCGAAGCAGCGACGUUAUAGAAAAGGAAUUAAUGAGACGGAAAGCCGAAGAAGCAUACGUUACAGAAAAUGAAUUAAUGAAACGAGAAGCCGAAAAAGCAGACGUUAAAGGAAAAUAAUUAAUGAAACGAAAAGCCGAAGAAGCAGAUGUUACGAGAAAGACGAGCGGUCGCAAUGAUUGGAAAGUAGAAAUUUUGAGAAUGAGAAACUAUAGUGCUGCCACGUGACAAAAGCUUAUGAGAAAUAAUAUAUGUACAUAGAUAUAGAUAUAGAUAUAGAUAUAGAUUUGCACUAGUUCUAAUUCUUAUAUAUAUAUAUUAAUAUAUAGGCUAAAUUACAGAAAACCCCCCUGUAAUAACCUGCUUUUUCACUUUCCCCCUUGACAUUUAAAAACCUACACUUUGCGGGGUUACGGUGUGUAAAAUGACCAUUUUGCCCCUCGCCAUUGUUGUCUUCUUCCCCAUCUUCCUCAGCCGCCCUUUCGUUCGGCCGCGAUUCCCACCUCAAUCGGCCGCGAUUUCUCUCAAUUUCCUUCUCCACCUGCUCCCCUUCUCCUCCUGCACCCUCGCCGCCCUCGAUUCCGGCGACAGUAGGAGAAAACCGAGGUGGGCGACAGUAGGAGAAGGGCAAAGAAGGCGAAGGCGAAGGCGAGGUGACGAAGGACGGCGAAGGGGAUGUGGGUGAGGGCGAGGCAGUGGAGGACGGCGAGGCGGCUAGGCGGCGAGGCGGCGAGGCGGUGGCGAGGUGGCGAGCCGCAGGGAGUCGAAGCAACAGGGAGAUGGCGGAGUGGUAUUUUUGGCAUAAAAAUAUAUUUUUUAACGGAACCCUGACGGAACCCUAACGGUAGGGGGUGAAGUACACAUUUUUUAUUUUACAGGGGGGCAAAGUGUAGGUUUUUAAAUGUCAGGGGGGGAAAAUGAAAAAACGGGUUAUUACAAGGGGGUUUUCUGUAAUUUAGCCUGGUAUAUAUUAUUAUUUGAAUAGUUUUUGAAUGAAAAUUUAAUUCAUAUCUAAAUCCAAAUCUGGAUCCAUAUUUAGUAGAUAUGAUUACAAAAAUUUAGUAUUCAAUAUAUAUAUCCGCAUUGGAAUUCAUAUCCGAAGAAAAAAUAUGAAUGUGAAUAUGAUAAUAUUCUACCAUUUUCUCUCUUACUAAAUAGGCCCAUAUAUUGCUAUACUAUCUUGAGUAUACUUGGCCUUGUUUGGAUGUUAGAAUGAAUUAUUCAAGAAUAACUUAUUCGAUAUAAAAUUUUUUUUAAUAUGAUUGUGAAAAAGGAGUUUAAUUUUUUACUACUUAAAAGAUUUUGAUAUUCAUGAUUUGGUAGGACAACAUAUCUCACCUACGAUGUGAUAUGUUUUAUAUAAAAAAAAAAAACUUAGAAGUUGAAUAUAGCAUCUAUUUUAAAACUUUGAUCACAGUUCUUAUAUACUAAUUGUACAAACUUUUCAAAUAAAUUAUAAAAUAUAGCGGACAAAAUAUAUAUGCAUCCAAACAC
rnacentral:lncRNA from 1 species